CCUACGGGUGACAGCAGUGAGGAAUAUUGGUCAAUGGACGAGAGUCUGAACCAGCCAAGUAGCGUGAAGGAUGACUGCCCUAUGGGUUGUAAACUUCUUUUAUAUGGGAAUAAAACGUUCCACGUGUGGGAUUUUGUAUGUACCAUAUGAAUAAGGAUCGGCUAACUCCGUGCCAGCAGCCGCGGUAAUACGGAGGGUCCGAGCGUUAUCCGGAUUUAUUGGGUUUAAAGGGAGCGUAGGUGGAUUGUUAAGUCAGUUGUGAAAGUUUGCGGCUCAACCGUAAAAUUGCAGUUGAAACUGGCAGUCUUGAGUACAGUAGAGGUGAGCGGAAUUCGUGGUGUAGCGGUGAAAUGCUUAGAUAUCACGAAGAACUCCGAUGGCGAAGGCAGUUCACUGGACUGCAACUGACACUGAGGCUCGAAAGUGUGGGUAUCAAACAGGAUUAGAUACCCCAGUAGUC
rnacentral:rRNA from 1 species